rnacentral:rRNA from 1 species
GACAGAGGGUGCAAACGUUGUUCGGAAUUACUGGGCGUAAAGCGCACGUAGGCGGACAUUUAAGUCAGGGGUGAAAUCCCGGGGCUCAACCCCGGAACUGCCUUUGAUACUGGGUGUCUUGAGUGUGGUAGAGGUGAGUGGAAUUGCGAGUGUAGAGGUGAAAUUCGUAGAUAUUCGCAGGAACACCAGUGGCGAAGGCGGCUCACUGGACCACAACUGACGCUGAGGUGCGAAAGCGUGGGGAGCAAACAGG